GACGAACCGUGCGAACGUUAUUCGGAAUCACUGGGCUUAAAGCGUGUGUAGGCGGGCCGUUAAGUAUCUUGUGAAAUCCCCCGGCUCAACCGGGGAAUGGCUGGAUAUACUGGCGGUCUUGAGCGAUCUAGGGGCAGAUGGAACAAGUGGUGGAGCGGUGAAAUGCGUAGAUAUCACUUGGAACGCCAAAGGUGAAAACAGUCUGCUGGGGAUCUGCUGACGCUGAGACACGAAAGCCAGGGGAGCGAACGGG
rnacentral:rRNA from 1 species